rnacentral:rRNA from 1 species
CGAUGUCGGAUUAGCUAGUUGGUGAGGUAAAGGCUCACCAAGGCGACGAUCCGUAGCGGGUCUGAGAGGAUGAUCCGCCACACUGGGACUGAGACACGGCCCAGACUCCUACGGGAGGCAGCAGUGGGGAAUUUUGGACAAUGGGCGAAAGCCUGAUCCAGCCAUGCCGCGUGAGUGAAGAAGGCCUUCGGGUUGUAAAGCUCUUUCGGCGGGGAAGAAAUCGCACUGGUUAAUACCCAGUGUGGAUGACGGUACCCGAAUAAGAAGCACCGGCUAACUACGUGCCAGCAGCCGCGGUAAUACGUAGGGUGCGAGCGUUAAUCGGAAUUACUGGGCGUAAAGCGUGCGCAGGCGGUUUUGUAAGUCAGAUGUGAAAUCCCCGGGCUCAACCUGGGAACUGCGUUUGAAACUACAAAGCUAG